GCCAGGGUGGCUCAGUCUAUUAAGCGUCUGACUUCGGAUCAGGUCAUGAUCUCACAGUUUGUGGGUUCAAGUCCCGCAUCGGGCU
rnacentral:tRNA from 1 species